AAAUAAGAAGCGACUUAUUGCAUUCAGUUUCGACCUGAUCUUAGAUGAAUUCUCAUCCUUAUUUA
rnacentral:tRNA from 1 species